AGGGAGCUUGCUCCUGGAUUCAGCGGCGGGCGGGUGAGUAAUGCCUAGGAAUCUGCCUGGUAGUGGGGGAUAACGUCCGGAAACGGGCGCUAAUACCGCAUACGUCCUGAGGGAGAAAGUGGGGGAUCUUCGGACCUCACGCUAUCAGAUGAGCCUAGGUCGGAUUAGCUAGUUGGUGGGGUAAAGGCCUACCAAGGCGACGAUCCGUAACUGGUCUGAGAGGAUGAUCAGUCACACUGGAACUGAGACACGGUCCAGACUCCUACGGGAGGCAGCAGUGGGGAAUAUUGGACAAUGGGCGAAAGCCUGAUCCAGCCAUGCCGCGUGUGUGAAGAAGGUCUUCGGAUUGUAAAGCACUUUAAGUUGGGAGGAAGGGCAGUAAGUUAAUACCUUGCUGUUUUGACGUUACCAACAGAAUAAGCACCGGCUAACUUCGUGCCAGCAGCCGCGGUAAUACGAGGGGUGCAAGCGUUAAUCGGAAUUACUGGGCGUAAAGCGCGCGUAGGUGGUUCAGCAAGUUGGAUGUGAAAUCCCCGGGCUCAACCUGGGAACUGCAUCCAAAACUACUGAGCUAGAGUACGGUA
rnacentral:rRNA from 1 species